rnacentral:rRNA from 1 species
AGUGAACGCUGGCGGCAGGCCUAAUACAUGCAAGUCGAACGGCAGCACAGCAGAGCUUGCUCUGUGGGUGGCGAGUGGCGGACGGGUGAGGAAUACGUGGGAAUCUGCCCAGUCGUGGGGGAUAACGUAGGGAAACUUACGCUAAUACCGCAUGCGCCCUUCGGGGGAAGCCGGGGGACCCUUUCGGGGCCUGGCGCGAUUGGAUGAGCCCACGUCGGAUUAGCUAGUUGGCGGGGUAAAGGCCCACCAAGGCGACGAUCCGUAGCUGGUCUGAGAGGAUGAUCAGCCACACUGGAACUGAGACACGGUCCAGACUCCUACGGGAAGCAGCAGUAGGGAAUAUUGGACAAUGGGCGCAAGCCUGAUCCAGCCAUGCCGCGUGAGUGAAGAAGG